rnacentral:rRNA from 1 species
UACGUAGGGUCCGAGCGUUGUCCGGAAUUACUGGGCGUAAAGAGCUCGUAGGCGGUUUGUCGCGUCUGCCGUGAAAGUCCGGGGCUCAACUCCGGAUCUGCGGUGGGUACGGGCAGACUAGAGUGAUGUAGGGGAGACUGGAAUUCCUGGUGUAGCGGUGAAAUGCGCAGAUAUCAGGAGGAACACCGAUGGCGAAGGCAGAUCUCUGGGCCGUAACUGACGCUGAGGAGCGAAAGCGUGGGGAGCGAACAGG